GAGGGGGAAUAUGCAACCAAAUGACCGGGAUUUGAGAGUUGACACGUUCAUGGAUUGUAACUGGCUGAUAGCAAUGAUGGCAAGCAGUGAAGGCAAGGUUUUUGUGGAAGAGGUGGGCCUUGCCGGUGAACAGGGUCGAUUAGGCAACCACUGCAUGAUAAGGAAGGAGGGGAAGAGGAAGAGGAGGAAGAAGGAUUCUAAAAUAGGAAAGAGUCAUGCAUACUUCCCAUGCAAUGUGGUCUACAAAUUUUAGGAGCUGCACACAGCCACUUGAGGUUAAGUGCCUCUAGGAAGAGGCUAUCCCAACCCUAGGAAAGCUUCAUCUGGAUGCAAAAUUUUGCUUCUACAUAAACAAAGUUUGUCUUGCCACAUAAACAAUGGUGGAUGUUGGGUCAGCUGGUGUAAUUUUGUACCAAAUGCUCUUUGGUAAACGUCCCUUUGGGCAUGACCAGACCCAAGAGAGAAUUCUUCGUGAAGACACUAUUAUUAACGCACGCAAGGUGGAAUUUCAUCAGAAACCGGCUGUCUCCAAAGGCAAAGUUGCAACUAUAAUGUGCCCCGGUCGCCAGGUUCGAAAAAGGGGCCGCCUUUUUUUGGGAUGGGAGCGGCCUGGAAGGCAGGAUCGAUCGGUCUUCGAGUUCUAGGCACCAAUUUGGUUCAAAAGGGCCAGACUAGCCUUCUUUUCUGGAUCAAUCAACUCUCCUGUACGCAAAAGACUUAUGGAAGCCUGGGGAAAUGACUCUGAGAUCUUCGUCCAUUCCGGCCACAUCACGACUCCAUACGAGGAGGGGCUUCUUAACAGCAAUUUUGGUGUUUAAAAAAAAAUUCUUUUGAAACUUUUAAAUUAUGAAAAAUAUUUUUCUUAAAAGGAUUAAGACCAUGUUUAGUAUUACUGUACUUUUUCACUUUGAGUUUUUAAAAACUAAAAUUUAAAAACAAGACAAAAAAGUUAUUUGAUAGAGUAUUUUUUAUAUUUUCAUUUUUUAUAGUUUUAAAAACUCAUAUGGUUUUUGACAAAAGAGAAAGUUAUUAAAAAUCAUUUUUAUUUUUUUUUAUUUCUCUUGCUUGUCAUACUUAUUGUUGCUACAUGUUGGCAUGCAAUUAAACUUUCUGGGAUAACAGAUGGUUAGCUGCUGGUUACCUAUAUGCAUCGGAAAUAUGUCUAUUUUAUCGAGCUUUGAAACUUGUCUUCAUGUUUUCCGUCACUACCCAAACAUUCUUCUAGCUUUCUUAUACUUCGGCCUGAUAUUGCUUGUUGGCAUGUGAGAAGUGUCUUAUUGGGCUAGAUAUAUCUUCAUUUUUAUCUAGUCACAACUCUAUC